rnacentral:lncRNA from 1 species
AAUGGCUGCUUUGUAGCUGAGACCAUGUUUCUAACACUUGCAGAAAGUAUGGUGUGGGAUGACAGAUGAUGCUGGCUAGACAAGCUCUGUGUUCUCUGAAUCAUUUUUAGAGCGCAAAGGAGAUCGCAAAGGAGAUUGUGGCAAGCACCAUAAACAUGUGCCUAGUGGGAAAACCUCAAAACGACUCAGGUCUUUAACUAUCUUUGAAGACAGCCAUCUUCCCUGCUCCUAUGAACAAUAAGACAACUAAACGU